rnacentral:tRNA from 1 species
GGAGGGAUGGCAGAGCGGUUUAAUGCACCGGUCUUGAAAACCGGAGACCCGCAAGGGUCCGUGGGUUCGAAUCCCACUCCCUCCG